ensembl:lncRNA novel transcript
CCUCUUGUCACGCCCUUUCAGACAUGCGUAGUGCAGCCCGUCCCUAGCGGUGGGGUAAAGGUCCUGCCCUUUUACACAUGCGGAGUGCACCCGUUCCUAGGGGUGGGGCUAACGGGCCUACCGUUUCAGACAUGCUCAGUGCAGCCUGUCCUUAGGCGUAGGGUAAUGGUGGGCGACCUGGCAGUUCUUGGGCUCCUUGGGAUCCCCUCGAGAAGCCCCCUUGUUAGUGUAUGAAACCGUCAGUUCACUGCCAGUAAUGAAAACAUCGUGUCCUUAGUCACCUGCCAUUAGCCUUUUCGAAACCAUUUUUUCUGUUCCCUAAGCUGUCACAAAUCCUCCUCUGCAUCCCAGGAGUGCCGCUUGGUCCUCGGGCUCGCAGCGUGGCCCACACCUGGGUCGGGCCUCUCACGGGGACGCUCCCGCCACUGUGAUAAAGAGGAGAAAACGUCACAGGGGAAGGGCCUGACCCUGCUGCAUCCAUUUUUUAGAUUAAGUACUGCACGACUACUCGCUUCUGAAACUGUCAUAAGAAACUGCCUCAGCUCCCUGCAGGGUGGACACACAAGAGCAGAAUCUCCGUGGGACAUCUCUUUGGAGCAUCAAUAUUACUACAGUAUUUGGAAGACACAAAUUUAAAUAAUUUCUAAGGUAAAGAAUGGAACAUUUAAGACAAGGCUGGAAAGUCAUCUGCCUUUAAUAACUCAUCUGUGCCUCACAUGUCAGACUUUCUCCAAGAAAAAAACUAAGGAGAACUUAUUUCCAUUCUUAUAAGUAGUAAAAAUAAUAAAUCAUAUCAAGUCAAUUGAAA